UCGGUGUGCUUUUGGUCAUCCUGCUGCGUAAAUCAAGCUGUGGACUAUCGGAUUCCCUCACUCCCCCAACUUGAUAUCCUGGUUUGGUUAUGUUGAUCACAUUUUCUACGGCUAGGUUUGAUCAUCUUUAGAUAUUUUUUUACUUGGUUGCUGAUUGUAUUACUGAUGAAAAAUAAAUAAGCUGAUGAUGAUAAUGAUGUGACUAGAUUUUAUUGAGAAACUCGUAAAUGAAAUAGAUUCAGAUUUUCACUGAGAAAGUUGUGUGUGAUUUUUAUUUUCUGCUAUGAUAAUUUAGGGCUUGAUUAGCCAUUUUAUGAGAUGCUUGGAUGUUGUAGAAAAUUUGAUUGAACUGGUCAUUAUGUAUCUAUGAAUUGAAUUUGCUGAAUUACUGGAUUAUAAUGGUGUAAGUUACUCUAUUGAAGAUGCAAGGGGGAAAGUCCCCCCUUCAAUUGUAUGUCUAGAUUGAAGAUAUAAGAGGGUAUAAAUGUCUAUAUAAAAGUGUACCACAGCUUUCCCCACCACAAACAGGUAAUUUAGUUGGAUGUGGAGGUGUUACGAUUGUGGAUGCCAUCGUUUAGCAAGAGAACUUCGAUUCCUGUUUGUUAUCCUUGUUUCUCGAAGUUAAAUUUGUUAUUGUUCUUUGGUUCUGAAUCGAGUUUGAUUCAUCAAUUCGGACGCGCCAAUGUAGAAAGGAUAUUAGGAAGAAUACCAGUACAUCAUGUCUGAAACUAGAGGAACAAAAUGUUAGUGAAAUUGGCAUUAGCGGGGGGUGGGGGGAUGGGGGUUGGCUGCGUUGUUCAAUAUGGAUGGUGUUCUUUGUGAUGAUGAACCAUCUCGAAUGGCUGGGAUUGAUUUGUUUCCUGAGAUUGGCGCGGAAGUUACAGCUGAACAUUUGCACCUUUUACUGGAACUGGUAAAUUUCUGCAUACACAAUAAUGUCAUUAAGACAUUCCUCUUCUUUAUCUCAUUAGCUUUAAUGAUAAUUUUCUAUGUUGUGUUUUCUUGAAUGGACUAUCUGGGGAGACAAAUAUUCUAGGAGGUGUUGCUCCUCUAAAGGGAGUUGAGGGAUUUGAUACGGAGGUGGCAAAGAAACGGUUGAAAUACAUCAGUAAGUUUACCAAACCAGACUCUGGAAUAUGAUUUCCUGGUGCCCUUGAAUUUAUUGCUUCAGUGUAAAAAAAUGGUCUGAAAGUAGCUGUUGCUUCCAGUGCUGAUCGGAUCAAGGUUGAUGCAAAUUUAGCUGUUGCGGCUUUACCUUUGUCGAUAUGUGUUUGAAAAUUUGAAAACCUGCGCCAGAUCUUUUCUUAGCUGCAUCAAAAUACCUUAAUGUGCCCCCUUCUGAGCGUAUUGUCAUUGAGGAUUCACUCGCUGGAGUUCAAGCUGCAAAAGCUGCACAAAUGAGAUUGCUAGAGGUUCAGAUGAUGUCAGAACCGGAUGCUGAGAAUGCAGACGCCACUUUUCAGAUUUUAUCCCAACGAUUGAAACAAAUAUGGGAUGAGGUUGGUGCGAGCUACGCUGAACUCGACCAAACGUCGUCUGAGAUUGACAAGGGUUGCUGGGACUCUUACAAGAAAAUAGUUGAUCAAGCUCAAAGUCGACAGCACGCCCUUUCAGGGUUGUGAGGGAAGAAACCACUUACCAGAAAUUAUUGCAGAAAUUAAGACAAAUACGGUUCGAGGAUGGUAAGCAUGUUGAGGAACGCAAAAAUAUGUUGCGUCAAAUAGAGAAGGAAUGCCUGGGCGUUUACGAGAGAAAAGUAGAUGAGGUUGCAGCGUGGAAAGAAGAACUUCUCUUUGGUGGCUCUUAUAGAACUGAAGAUUCAUAAGGAGCUCCGUGCUCUCGGAGAGGGAAAUGUUUAUGUAGUGAGUAAACACAGCCGCAGUCGACAGAGACAAUCCAGGAAGGAUUAGACUAUGCAACAAUACAACUAUGUCAGAUCGAAGAUGAGACCAGGCAGGAAUUUGUUAUUGAAUUUGAAUCUCAAGAAAAGUAUGCAGGAGUUUGCUGAUGCUCCCACAGUUUACUGUUAAGAUGAUCUGAGGAAUUUAAUCCUAAGCUUCAGGUGAUCUAACAUGUAUAAAUUUUGUUUGGUUUAUUGUUUCGGUUCGAACAAUUUGAUAGUGGACUUCUCUAGGCCCAAUGACUGUUAAAGCUUGGUCCUUCUGGAAGGAGAGAUGCACAAUGGUGCUUAACAACAAAUUUUCCGAACCCUAAGAAAACAAUUCAAGCUAUCACUGCUUUUCUAAGGACCUCAGCUAGAGUUCAUGAAGAGAAACUUAGUGCUGUUAUAAUGAUAUGCCAUAGUCCAUAAACAAGUAACAGUUCACCUGGAUCAAGGUGUGCCAUGUCAAUGGAGAUUUAAGAGCCGACCAUUUGGAGUGCUUGGCGGUCUUGGAGGCUGUUGCAUGGUUUAUUUCUCUGGUCUGAAAAAGAUAAUCCUAGAAACAGCCGUUCCAAAGUCUGACAAGCAGAAUUCAAUGUAAAAGCUCUGACGUUCCCUGGGAAUGACAGGAAACAUUGAAGAUUUUUUUAUUUUUAUUUUAAAUAUCUUUAAACAGUUGGUCGUGUAAGAUUUUUCUUUUGGUGUACUGUAGGAUUUCUUGCAGUUCCAAAAACACAGACCCAUUUUCCGGCCCAAUGACUUUAAAUGGAUGCCAAUCUGGUUUCUUAA